GUGAGUAGUUCAGAGUUUGAUCCUGGCUCAGGACGAACGCUGCGGCGUGCCUAACACAUGCAAGUCGAACGGGGCAUUCCUUCGGGGAUGCUUAGUGGCGAACGGGUGAGUAACGCGUGAGGAACCUGCCUUUCAGUGGGGGACGAACAGUUGGAAACGACUGCUAAUACCGCAUAAUGUUAUUUAGGGGCAUCCCUGAAUAACCAAAGCUUUAUGUGCUGAAAGAUGGCCUCGCGUCUGAUUAGCUAGUUGGUGAGGUAACGGCUCACCAAGGCGACGAUCAGUAGCCGGUCUGAGAGGAUGAACGGCCACAUUGGGACUGAGAUACGGCCCAG
rnacentral:rRNA from 1 species